rnacentral:rRNA from 1 species
CGGGACACGUGGUAUCCUGUCUGAAUAUGGGGGGACCAUCCUCCAAGGCUAAAUACUCCUGACUGACCGAUAGUGAACCAGUACCGUGAGGGAAAGGCGAAAAGAACCCCGGCGAGGGGAGUGAAAAAGAACCUGAAACCGUGUACGUACAAGCAGUGGGAGCACAGAGCAAUCUGUGUGACUGCGUACCUUUUGUAUAAUGGGUCAGCGACUUAUAUUCUGUAGCAAGGUUAACCGAAUAGGGGAGCCGAAGGGAAACCGAGUCUUAACUGGGCGUUAAGUUGCAGGGUAUAGACCCGAAACCCGGUGAUCUAGCCAUGGGCAGGUUGAAGGUUGGGUAACACUAACUGGAGGACCGAACCGACUAAUGUUGAAAAAUUAGCGGAUGACUUGUGGCUGGGGGUGAAAGGCCAAUCAAACCGGGAGAUAGCUGGUUCUCCCCGAAAGCUAUUUAGGUAGCGCCUCGUGAAUUCAUCUCCGGGGGUAGAGCACUGUUUCGGCAAGGGGGUCAUCCCGACUUACCAACCCGAUGCAAACUGCGAAUACCGGAGAAUGUUAUCACGGGAGACACACGGCGGGUGCUAACGUCCGUCGUGAAGAGGGAAACAACCCAGACCGCCAGCUAAGGUCCCAAAGUCAUGGUUAAGUGGGAAACGAUGUGGGAAGGCCCAGACAGCCAGGAUGUUGGCUUAGAAGCAGCCAUCAUUUAAAGAAAGCGUAAUAGCUCACUGGUCGAGUCGGCCUGCGCGGAAGAUGUAACGGGGCUAAACCAUGCACCGAAGCUGCGGCAGCGACGCUUAUGCGUUGUUGGGUAGGGGAGCGUUCUGUAAG